CAGGUGGUUGAACAGACAGUAGAGAGACAGCAACAUGAUGCUUCUGGGAGCUGAGAUGAGCUGACACCAGGAUUUCGCCAACAUGCUUUACUAGCCUCAUUCCAAGCAUCCCAAGGACCAGCAUAUACCUUUGGCAGCCAAGAAGAGACAUCUGGUCAACAGACUAUGUUGCACUAGCGAACAGAAGAAUAAGGCAGCAGAAUACCAGUUUUAAUACUGUAGCCACCACCUACACAUUGGAAGGAAAAAAACUGACCUGUGCCAAAAUAUGGGAAACCUGGAAGAAGAAAAUAACCAAUUUAUUUAAGUGGAAUAGAUGAUUACUCAAAGUGGCAAGGCUUACAGGUUGUGGACAUCCUGAAUCAGUGAUGGUUACUUGAAGAGGCACAAUGGAAUAGUUAGAGCACUCCGUGUUCACCUCAGACAUUGAAGGCCAUUGGGAAAAAACGAGACAGACCCAACAUGGAAUUUUGGUAAGUUUCUCAUUGAAUGACUUAGUAUGUACGUGAGGAAACACAGAGAGAGUCCAUUUUCCAUUUUAAGCUUCACACAAAGGUUUCCUCAGCCUGGUGUACUUUAUGUGAAUUGCUGCUGGCUUUUUAUGUCUUUAAAAAAAGAAGACCAAACAAACCUCACAAAACCAACUGGCUCCUGAUGCGCUUAGCAUUUUA